rnacentral:sRNA from 1 species
AAUAUUUUGAUAUAAUAUAUUAUGAGCAAGUUGGAUAGAUGGUGGCUAAUCUCUUAACAAAGGGGUGAUGCCUAUGAUGAUAGAAGUUACUCCUGGAAAGGAGAAGCAUGUCUGAUUACGAAAUGUUGAUGGUUGUAAUGACAAUCAUUGGCUUAGUACUUAUCAGUAAAGAAAAUCA